AUUAACAAAAACCUUUAUCUGUGGAGGAAAUGGGGGGAGAAAGAGCCAGCCACCGUACAUGAGUGACAGGCAGACAGGGAGGAGUGUGGGGCCUCAACACCUGAGUGACACAGGAGGUGAGGAGGAGUGUGGGGCCUCAGUACCUGAGUGACAGGAGGAGGUGAGCAGGAGUGUGGGGCCUCAGCUCCUGAGUGACAGGAGGAGGUCAGGAGGAGUGUGGGGCCUCAGCACCUGAGUGACAGGAGGAGGUGAGGAGGAGUGUGGGGCCUCAGCACCUGAUGACAGGAGGAGGUCAGGAGGAGUGUGGGGCCUCAGCACCUGAGUGACAGGAGGAGGUCAGGAGGAGUGUGGGGCCUCAGCUCCUGAGUGACAGGAGGAGGUCAGGAGGAGUGUGGGGCCUCAGCACCUGAGUGACAGGAGGAGGUGGGAGGAGUGUGGGGCCUCAGCACCUGAGUGACAGGAGGAGGUCAGGAGGAGUGUGGGGCCUCAGCACCUGAGUGACAGGAGGAGGUCAGGAGGAGUGUGGGGCCUCAGCUCCUGAGUGACAGGAGGAGGUCAGGAGGAGUGUGGGGCCUCAGCACCUGAGUGACAGGAGGAGGUCAGGAGGAGUGUGGGGCCUCAGCACCUGAGUGACAGGAGGAGGUGGGAGGAGUGUGGGGCCUCAGCACCUGAGUGACAGGAGGAGGUCAGGAGGAGUGUGGGGCCUCAGCACCUGAGUGACAGGAGGAGGUCAGGAGGAGUGUGGGGCCUCAGCUCCUGAGUGACAGGAGGAGGUCAGGAGGAGUGUGGGGCCUCAGCAUCUGAGUGACAGGAGGAGGUCAGGAGGAGUGUGGGGCCUCAGCUCCUGAGUGACAGGAGGAGGUGGGAGGAGUGUGGGGCCUCAGCACCUGAGUGACAGGAGGAGGUCAGGAGGAGUGUGGGGCCUCAGCACCUGAGUGACAGGAGGAGGUGAGGAGUGUGGGGCCUCAGCUCCUGAGUGACAGGAGGAGGUCAGGAGGAGUGUGGGGCCUCAGCACCUGAGUGACAGGAGGAGGUCAGGAGGAGUGUGGGG